ACGAACGCUGGCGGCGUGCUUAACACAUGCAAGCCGAACGGAAAGGCCCUGCUUUUGUGGGGUGCUCGAGUGGCGAACGGGUGAGUAACACGUGAGUAACCUGCCCUUGACUUUGGGAUAACUUCAGGAAACUGGGGCUAAUACCGGAUAGGAGCUCCUGCUGCAUGGUGGGGGUUGGAAAGUUUCGGCGGUUGGGGAUGGACUCGCGGCUUAUCAGCUUGUUGGUGGGGUAGUGGCUUACCAAGGCUUUGACGGGUAGCCGGCCUGAGGGGGUGACCGGCCACAUUGGGACUGGAAUCCGGCCCAGACUCCUACGGGAGGCAGCAGGGGGGAAUAUUGCAAAAGGGGGGGAAGCCUGAUGCAGCAACGCCGCGGGCGGGAGGGCGGCCUUCGGGUUGUAAACCGCUUUCGCCUGGGACGAAGCGUGGGUGACGGUAAUGGGUAAAGAAGCCCCGGCUAACUACGU
rnacentral:rRNA from 1 species